UACGAAGGGUGCAAGCGUUACUCGGAAUUACUGGGCGUAAAGCGUGCUUAGGCGGUUUGUUAAGUCUGUCGUGAAAGCCCCGGGCUCAACCUGGGAAUGGCGAUGGAAACUGGCGAGCUAGAGUACGGUAGAGGAGAGUGGAAUUCCCGGUGUAGCAGUGAAAUGCGUAGAGAUCGGGAGGAACAUCAGUUGCGAAGGCGGCUCUCUGGACCAGUACUGACGCUGAGGCACGAAAGCGUGGGGAGCAAACAGG
rnacentral:rRNA from 1 species